rnacentral:rRNA from 1 species
CGAACAUGUACUUGUAUUUCUGCAUGCGGUCUAUACAUGCAAGUCGAGCGAAUGAUGAGGAGCUUGCUCCUCUGAUUUAGCGGCGGACGGGUGAGUAACACGUGGGUAAUCUGCCUGUAAGACGGGGAUAACUCCGGGAAACCGGGGCUAAUACCGGAUAAUAAGAAGAAACGCAUGUUUCUUUUUUGAAAGUCGGUUUCGGCUGACACUUACAGAUGAGCCCGCGGCGCAUUAGCUAGUUGGUGAGGUAACGGCUCACCAAGGCGACGAUGCGUAGCCGACCUGAGAGGGUGAUCGGCCACACUGGGACUGAGACACGGCCCAGACUCCUACGGGAGGCAGCAGUAGGGAAUCUUCGGCAAUGGGCGAAAGCCUGACCGAGCAACGCCGCGUGAGCGAUGAAGGCCUUCGGGUCGUAAAGCUCUGUUGUUAGAGAAGAACAAGUACGAGAGUAACUGCUCGUACCUUGACGGUACCUAACCAGAAAGCCACGGCUAACUACGUGCCAGCAGCCGCGGUAAUACGUAGGUGGCAAGCGUUAUCCGGAAUUAUUGGGCGUAAAGCGCGCGCAGGCGGUCUCUUAAGUCUGAUGUGAAAGCCCACGGCUCAACCGUGGAGGGUCAUUGGAAACUGGGAGACUUGAGUGCAGAGAGAAAAGUGGAAAUUCCACGUGUAGCGGUGAAAUGCGUAGAGAUGUGGAGGAACACCAGUGGCGAAGGCGGCUUUUUGGCCUGUAACUGACGCUGAGCGCGAAAGCGUGGGGGAGCAAACAGAUUAGAUACCCUGGUAGUCCACGCCGUAACGAUGAGUGCUAGGUGUUUGGGGGGGGGUUCCACCCCUCAGGUGCUGAAGUUAACAACAUUAAGGCACCUCCCGCCUGGGGGGAGUACGACCGCAAGGUGAACUUCAAAGGAUUGACGGGGGCCCGCACAAGCAUGGAGCAUGUGAUUUAGUCGAGCACGCGAGAUCAUACAGUCUGACAUCUCUGACACUCUGAGAAUAGAGCUUCCUGUCAGGGGACUGAUUGACAAGGUGAGUGCCAUGGCUGUCGUCAGCUGGUACUGGAAUGCUGGAUUAGUCUG